GCGGGUUCGUUCGUUCGAUGGGUCCUCUAGCGAUGGGUAUAACCUAUAAUCGAACAUGAACAAAUCAAGAUAAUAUAUAUAUAAAAGAAUUCAAUUAGAAAUCGUCGUAUUAGAGGGAAAAGAUAGAAAAGAAGAAAAAACAAACAAAAUUGAAGGCACAUCGUGGAAUCCAUCAUCGAUGAGAACCAACUACUCCCGUAGCCUCUCCCAGCCUUCUCCUUCCCUUUCACGUUAUCGCUUCGGUAAGUUUGUACAAUAAACCGAAUGACAGAUGAUCGACCCUCUCGUACGGGCGCAUGAUCGUUUACACACACGCUCGUGAGUUCUCCGGUACGAGCUCCGGUACGGGCCGACUUAUGAAUGGUAUCUGUACGCGUUCCCACGUCACUGAAUGAGUCUCGAGUCUCUCACGUCCGGCGAGAUUAUCGUGGUGUCUCGUGGUGUCUCGUGUUUCUUUCUCUCACCCCACACACCAUUCCCUUCUUAUCCUCUUAAUACCGUGUGCUAUAAUAUACUUUUUCUUCUCGUAAUACUCCUAGUAACUACUUCUAUCUAAAUAUUUCGUGCGCAUAGAACAAAUUUCAGAUGAUACCAACACAAUUUUCGUUAUUUUAUCAUUCGAAUUUCGAAUAAUCGUAUAAAGUCACGCGAACGAUGAUAUAACAUUUUACAGGAGUGUUUGAAAGAAAUACGUGACACGAACAAAAUGAGAAAAGAUGGUCUUACAAAAAACCAAAAUAAUGAAUAUUUAUAUAAAGAAUAAACAUGUGUCUGAUCGGUCGACUGAACAGUCUGUAGGCAGUCAGGAAUCGGGAGGGUCGCCCCACAGCUAACACGUGCAAGGCGCACGUGCACUCCGAAAGACCACUCUAGCCUCUGGCGCACAAUCAUCGGAUGCCAAGAUACACUCCACGGAAUAAUUUUCGAGGGGCACUCCCAUGCUUUCUUCGUGUGUUCAGCACUAAAGGGGAAAAAAAGAAAAAAGAAAGAAGGAAAGAAAGAAAGAAAUAAAAAAGAGAAAUAAAAAAAAUACAAGUACACGCAUCGGGUACUAAAUUUCGUCCUAAUUUUAAUAAUACGUUCAUCAUUUGAAAUACUUAUUCGAAUAAAAACGAUUUAAUUCACGCAGUAUUUCAAAUCAAACGCGUUCCAAUCCCCGUCAUACGUGGAAAAGAUAUUCUCUUACGUACACACACAUAUAUAUGUGUGUUUUAAGCUCGCGAGCACGUUUCCAACGGUGUUCGUGCUUUAAAGGAAGAGACACGUUGUACCUGACUGACUCUAUGCGUAAAGGUUUGCAUCUUAAAGAUUGUUGUUGUCCACUGGUUACCUUAUGACCCACGAGUUGAAUGUAAUAUAAAUACGAUUUGAAUUUGAAUUCGUGACUUAUUCCUAGACAAAAA
rnacentral:lncRNA from 1 species